rnacentral:rRNA from 1 species
UACAUGCAAGUCGGACGGGAUUCGGGAGCUUGCUUCCGAUGAGAGUGGCGCACGGGUGCGUAACACGUAUGUAACCUACCUUCACCAGGGGGAUAGCCUCUCGAAAGAGAGAUUAAGACCGCAUAACAUUAUUGAAUAGCAUUAUUUAAUAAUCAAAUAUUUAUAGGGUGAAGAUGAGCAUGCGGAACGUUAGCUAGUUGGUAAGGUAACGGCUUACCAAGGCUACGAUGUUUAGGGGAUCUGAGAGGAUGACCCCCCACACUGGUACUGAGACACGGACCAGACUCCUACGGGAGGCAGCAGUAAGGAAUAUUGGUCAAUGGGCGAAAGCCUGAACCAGCCAUGCCGCGUGCAGGAAGACGGCCCUACGGGUUGUAAAUUGCUUUUAUACCGGAAUAAACCUAUCUACGUGUAGAUAGCUGAAUGUACGGUAAGAAUAAGGAUCGGCUAACUCCGUGCCAGCAGCCGCGGUAAUACGGAGGAUCCAAGCGUUAUCCGGAUUUAUUGGGUUUAAAGGGUGCGUAGGUGGCCUGUUAAGUCAGGGGUGAAAGACGGUAGCUCAACUAUCGCAGUGCCCUUGAUACUGAUGGGCUUGAAUGAACUAGAGGUAGGCGGAAUGUGACAAGUAGCGGUGAAAUGCAUAGAUAUGUCACAGAACACCAAUUGCGAAGGCAGCUUACUAUGGUUUGAUUGACACUGAGGCACGAAAGCGUGGGGAUCAAACAGGAUUAGAUACCCUGGUAGUCCACGCCCUAAACGAUGAAUACUCGAUGUUGGCGAUAUACGGUCAGCGUCUAAGCGAAAGCGUUAAGUAUUCCACCUGGGGAGUACGCCCGCAAGGGUGAAACUCAAAGGAAUUGACGGGGCCCGCACAAGCGGAGGAGCAUGUGGUUUAAUUCGAUGAUACGCGAGGAACCUUACCCGGGCUUGAAA